UUGACCUCGAAUCAGGUAGGGAUACCCGCUGAACUUAAGCAUAUCAAUAAGCGGAGGAAAAGAAACCAACCGGGAUUACCUCAGUAACGGCGAGUGAAGCGGUAACAGCUCAAAUUUGAAAUCUGGCUCCUGCGGAGUCCGAGUUGUAAUUUGUAGAAGAUGCUUUGGGAGGUAGGGCCGGCCUAAGUUCCUUGGAACAGGACAUCAGAGAGGGUGAGAAUCCCGUAUGCGGCCGCGGCCUACGCCCGUGUAAAGCUCUUUCGACGAGUCGAGUUGUUUGGGAAUGCAGCUCAAAAUGGGUGGUAAAUUUCAUCUAAAGCUAAAUAUUGGCCAGAGACCGAUAGCGCACAAGUAGAGUGAUCGAAAGAUGAAAAGCACUUUGGAAAGAGAGUUAAACAGUACGUGAAAUUGUUGAAAGGGAAGCGCUUGCACCCAGACUUGGGCGUCGUCGAUCAUCCGAGGUUCUCCUCGGUGCACUCGACGAUGCACAGGCCAGCAUCGGUUUGGGUGGUUGGAGAAAGGCUCUAGGAACGUAGCUCUCUUCGGGGAGUGUUAUAGCCUAGGGCGUAAUGCAGCCCAUCCGGACCGAGGACCGCGCCUUCGGGCUAGGAUGCUGGCGUAAUGGUUGCAAGCGACCCGUCUUGAAACACGGACCAAGGAGUCUAACAUCUAUGCGAGUGUUUGGGCGUUAAACCCAUACGCGGAAUGAAAGUGAACGCAGGUGAGAACCCGUUAGGGUGCAUCAUCGACCG
rnacentral:rRNA from 1 species